rnacentral:rRNA from 1 species
GACGAACCGUGCGAACGUUGUUCGGAAUAACUGGGCUUAAAGGGCGCGUAGGCGGGCAAGCAAGUCAGGGGUGAAAUCCCACGGCUCAACCGUGGAAGAGCCUGUGAUACUGCUUGUCUAGAGGGAGGUAGGGGCGUGCGGAACUUCCGGUGGAGCGGUGAAAUGCGUAGAUAUCGGAAGGAACACCGGUGGCGAAAGCGGCGCGCUGGACCUCUUCUGACGCUGAGGCGCGAAAGCUAGGGGAGCAAACGGG